rnacentral:rRNA from 2 species
AACGCUAGCUACAGGCUUAACACAUGCAAGUCGAGGGGCAGCAUUUCAGUUUGCUUGCAAACUGGAGAUGGCGACCGGCGCACGGGUGAGUAACACGUAUCCAACCUGCCGAUAACUCGGGGAUAGCCUUUCGAAAGAAAGAUUAAUACCCGAUGGUAUAAUUAGACCGCAUGGUCUUGUUAUUAAAGAAUUUCGGUUAUCGAUGGGGAUGCGUUCCAUUAGGCAGUUGGUGAGGUAACGGCUCACCAAACCUUCGAUGGAUAGGGGUUCUGAGAGGAAGGUCCCCCACAUUGGAACUGAGACACGGUCCAAACUCCUACGGGAGGCAGCAGUGAGGAAUAUUGGUCAAUGGGCGCAGGCCUGAACCAGCCAAGUAGCGUGAAGGAUGACUGCCCUAUGGGUUGUAAACUUCUUUUAUAUGGGAAUAAAGUUUUCCACGUGUGGAAUUUUGUAUGUACCAUAUGAAUAAGGAUCGGCUAACUCCGUGCCAGCAGCCGCGGUAAUACGGAGGAUCCGAGCGUUAUCCGGAUUUAUUGGGUUUAAAGGGAGCGUAGGUGGACAGUUAAGUCAGUUGUGAAAGUUUGCGGCUCAACCGUAAAAUUGCAGUUGAUACUGGCUGUCUUGAGUACAGUAGAGGUGGGCGGAAUUCGUGGUGUAGCGGUGAAAUGCUUAGAUAUCACGAAGAACUCCGAUUG